rnacentral:rRNA from 1 species
AGAGUUUGAUCAUGGCUCAGGAUGAAUGCUGGCGGCGUGCCUAAUACAUGCAAGUCGAGCGGCAGCGCGUCUAGUUUACUAGAUGGCGGCGAGCGGCGGACGGCUGAGUAACGCGUGGGAACAUGCCCCAAAGUGAGGGAUAACGCACCGAAAGGUGUGCUAAUACCGCAUAUGGUCUUCGGAUUAAAGGAUUUAUCCGCUUUGGGAGUGGCCCGCGUACGAUUAGAUUGUUGGUGAGGUAACGGCUCACCAAGUCGACGAUCGUUAACUGGUCUGAGAGGAUGAUCAGUCAGACUGGAACUGAGACACGGUCCAGACUCCUACGGGAGGCAGCAGUAAGGAAUCUUCCACAAUGGGUGAAAGCCUGAUGGAGCAACGCCGCGUGCAGGAUGAAGGCCCUCGGGUCGUAAACUGCUUUUAUGAGUGAAGAAUAUGACGGUAACUCAUGAAUAAUCACCGGCUAACUACGUGCCAGC